CAGGGCUGCCAUGUGAAGAAUGAGUCACAGAACACAGAACAAACACAGGCGGGUCUGCAACGAGGCUACUACAGAGAAGCAAAGCAUGCUACCUGUGGAGAAGAGCACCUGUAGCCACUCUACUGGAGAAUUCUUUGCCAGAAAGGAAAAUAAAGUGCCCCUGAAGGCUCCAUGUGAUAAGGAAAGGCAGGUUCCAACAGCUUCAGUGUAGACGUGUUAGUAGAGCCCAUCUGCCGCAGGUGAGGGUAACGUCGCAGUUUUAUAAAUGACAAACCACCCCAAAGAUUAUAGGCUUCGAGGACCACUGGCCUCAACAGAGAAUGCCAGAGAAAGCCUGGAAUGGUGACUACAGAUCCUCAUCACUGCUCUGUAACUGGGGUAAAGGAUACCCACGGGAAUAACUCCCAGCAAGUCUAUGCAAGUCUAUGCCUCACAGAACAGAAACAUGAUGAGCAAAAUAAAAGGACCCAGAAAAGCACCAAAUACAUCAUCCCAGACAUUUUGAAGAAAAAGUGGACCGAGUCCAUUAAUCACAUCCAAACCCCAAGAAUGCUCAGAAGGCUGCUGGUAAAUUUUUGUUGAGUGUAAAAUUGCAAAGUUACCCUGCUUAAAGUUCUCCAAGUACUUAAUGAAUGGAUUAAGCAAGAGAGUUGUCCACACUUUUUCCUGAAGGUAUUUAAGGAAUCUGAAUAAGGGCAAAAAAAAAGGAAGCUUGCAAAGUCGUAAUGACAGCUGGUAUCUUCCCCUCUUCACAGGAAGCACGUCACACCUUUGGGAGCUCAUGGGCUUCAUUUGCAAAGGUUUCAUUCUGCCUCCUGAUUACAACCACGAACACUUUUAGCUGUAAUCGUAGGAAAAGACUUUCUAAUCUUAAUUCAAGCCCUGUAUCUUACAGAGAUAAAAACAGAAGUCAGAAAUGGAACUUCCAAGAUUGCAAAGUAUGACACAAUCCAAUUUUAUUUUCUACAAAAAUUGCGACUUGAAGUGGGUGAAGGCCUACCUUAACAGUAGUAGGAACAUUCCUAAAGACUAAAAUAGAUCUCUGCUCAAAAAAGAUACGCAUCCAUUGAGUCAGACAUUUAGACACUAGGGCUCAAAUUUCUGUAAUCUGAACCUGCUCUCAAAACGAUGCUCCCUCAUGUCAGUGUUAUAAUAAGAAGUAGCUGUUAUUUCUCACGGCUGUUUCGUAUGUAAACAUAACUUAAAACCCAGAAGAGAGCCCCAUUUGUCUAACUAAACUAUUCAAUGCUCAUUUCUUCACAGAACAAUGAUUAAUGCUUAACUUGGGGAUGGAUAUCUGUACGUCCUAUCUAUCUAUCUCUACAGCUCUAUGAAGUGCCAGGCUGCCACAGAUGCUUUGGAAGAGCACGAACUCCUAAGGCAGGAAAGCAUAUUAGUGGCAAAGACCUUGAAAUAUAUAAACUUAAGCAUACUUAAAAGACAAGCAGGCAUCCACACAUACACACAUAAUCCAUUUUUUGAAACUUACAGGAAGCAAAUACUCCCAUACUGGAAGUUAGCCCAAAGUAAAAACAAAAACAAAAACAAAAA